rnacentral:lncRNA from 1 species
AUGCUUUGUGGUUUUUCUAAAGAUCUCAGAGUACUAAAAUAUAUAAACAUUCUUUUGCAGCUCGUAGUUCUAUCUCCUCUAUUUUUACCUUGUCUUCCCCACAUCUUCCUCUUUUUUCCCUCAAUGAUCAUAUAUUAUAAGCCAAAUAUUCUUGGCUGCUUUCCAUAUGUAUUUGUGGAUAUGAACUAUAUAUUUAAUAAAUAUACAUUUACUUACAUAAUUUGUUUUAUAUUUGACAGGCAUAUCAUAUACUUAAUUUUCAGUAACUGGCAGUCUGCAAACAGCAUGAAUGUCUUAGAAGCCCUCUGGGGAUAUGCUGGCAAGAGUAUGGAGUAUCCAUAACAGACACUGAUGAUGGAUAUCACAGACGGACUGAAGCACAUGAUCUAAACACAAGAAAUCUCAG